AGCGAACGCUGGCGGCAGGCUUAACACAUGCAAGUCGAGCGGGCGUAGCAAUACGUCAGCGGCAGACGGGUGAGUAACGCGUGGGGACGUACCUUUUGGUUCGGAACAACACAGGGAAACUUGUGCUAAUACCGGAUAAGCCCUUACGGGGAAAGAUUUAUCGCCGAAAGAUCGGCCCGCGUCUGAUUAGCUAGUUGGUGAGGUAACGGCUCACCAAGGCGACGAUCAGUAGCUGGUCUGAGAGGAUGAUCAGCCACAUUGGGACUGAGACACGGCCCAAACUCCUACGGGCGGCAGCAGUGGGGAAUGUUGGACAAUGGGCGCAAGCCUGAUCCAGCCAUGCCGCGUGAGUGAUGAAGGCCCUAGGGUUGUAAAGCUCUUUUGUGCGGGAAGAUAAUGACGGUACCGCAAGAAUAAGCCCCGGCUAACUUCGUGCCAGCAGCCGCGGUAA
rnacentral:rRNA from 1 species